rnacentral:ncRNA from 1 species
CGCAGAGAGAUAUGGUAGAGUGGGCUAGAAGAGCAUGACAUAUACUGUUAUGUCGAUUAUUUUCUCCUCGGACCUUAGUAAAAUUUAUGGUGGGGACACGCAAACUUCUCAACAGGCCGUACCAAUAUCCGCAGCUGGUCUCCAAGGUGAAGAGUCUCUAGUCGAUAGAAUAAUGUAGGUAAGGGAAGUCGGCAAAUUAGAUCCGUAACUUCGGGAUAAGGAUUGGCUCUGAAGAUUGAGAUAGUCGGGCUUGAUUGGGAAACAAUAACAUGGUUUAUGUGCUCGUUCUGGGUAAAUAGAGUGUCUAUCAUUUAUGGUGGUUACUUGUUCCCCGGAUAGUUUAGUUACGUAGCCAAUUGUGGAACUUUCUUGCUAAAAUUUUUAAGAAUACUAAUUGGCUCUGAAAAAUUAGAAGCGUUUUUCUAAUUAUUAAAAACCGAAACUUGGGUGGCUAAUUAAUAAAUUUAUUUUGGCAAAACGACGAAAACGAAAAAGAAGUGCGUGCGCUCGAUCAGACUCAAUUUCAACGAAUGCUCUAUUCUCCACAAUCAUACUUAAGCCUAGCUUACCGAAGGUUGGCGAAGACGGAGCGAACUCGCAGAGAGCGAACAAAAGCUUUAUUGCGCUCCCGCCUUCGCCCUAAACUAACUUACAGUAAACUUCAAAUUCAACGAUACUUAUUCUAACAAUUCAAAAAUAAAAAACGAAAAACUGGCUUCAGCCAACACCGGCCCCGUUGAAGGCCCAUCCGGCUUCAACAAACUGGAAGCGGCGCCAAUUUGUGGAUGGCUCGCCUAAACAUUCCUCCUCCGCUGGUCCUCACAUCGACGACCCUGACGAUGCCGUCCUCUCCUGCGUGCGUGGCGACGAUCCUCCCAAUCAACCACUGUUGAGGCGGCAGGUUGUCCUCGGCGACGACGACCAGUUGUCCCUCUUGUAUGUUGGGCUGCUCCAAGUGCCACUUGCCCCGAACUUGAAGGCCCAGCACAUACUCCAGGGACCAUCGCCGCCAAAACAUUCGCCUGGCUGACGAGGCAAGUUGCCAUCGCCGCAAGCAACUGAGACCCGCCUGGUCCGGGGUCCGGAGUGCUGGGAUGGGGAAGAGUGGCCCGCCUGUCAGCAGGUGCCCGGGCGUUAAAGCUUCUCCGUCGCUGGGGUCGUUGCUUAAC